CCCAGAGAGGCCAGAUGACGCUUUUCUGAUCAUGCUCCCCUCUGACAUCACUGUCUCCACCUCUCAGGGAGGAGCAGCUGAGGGGCUCCCGGAAGAAAGGAGGAAGGUGUCUCAGAGACACCUCUGCUGCCCCCCCUGCCCUGGGGUCUAGGACAACCUCCACCCCAGUCGGGCUCGGUGUCUGCCUCCCCGUGGGCUGCGAGGACUGAACGAGAGCAAUGCCCUUCCCCACAAAUCUGACACCCAUCAAGGCUUUCCUGCCCCUGGGACUCACACCUGCCCCUGUGUGUCUGAGAUCAGGGGACACUCUGCACCUUGGAAGCUAUCGCCUCCAUCUAUCAUUUGUAAGAGGAUGACAAGUAACACUAUCAAAACGUAACCUGAUCAGUUACAAUUAAAAGGCCAUUGGGAGACCGGA